rnacentral:rRNA from 1 species
CGGCGGACGGGUGAGUAACACGUGGAUAACCUACCUAUAAGACUGGGAUAACUUCGGGAAACCGGAGCUAAUACCGGAUAAUAUAUUGAACCGCAUGGUUCAAUAGUGAAAGACGGUUUUGCUGUCACUUAUAGAUGGAUCCGCGCCGCAUUAGCUAGUUGGUAAGGUAACGGCUUACCAAGGCAACGAUGCGUAGCCGACCUGAGAGGGUGAUCGGCCACACUGGAACAGAGACACGGUCCAG